GAUAGCUCGAUGGGUGAGAGCAUCAGACUGUUAAUCUGAUUGUUGAAGGUUCGAAUCCUUCUC
rnacentral:tRNA from 1 species